CCCCUCUCAGGAUCAUACCUGGAGAGUUUCCAGUACUCUACCAGUCUCGAAUACCAGAGGGAGAGUGAAAACAGAGGCACAUUCAUUCCAUUCCUAGCUUGGGCAGUGGUUAGCGAGUAGAAGGCAAUCUGCUUCAAGU